rnacentral:lncRNA from 1 species
GUUGUUUCUUUUUUUCUCCAAACAUUUUCUUGUUUCUAUAGAUUCAAAUCCUGAGAGAAGACUACAGUGGAAAUAUUGCCUAAUUCAAUUCAUGAAACCAUCUUUUUUUAAAAAGAACAAAACUGUUUUUCUGCAUGCAUUUCUUGGAGGCAUUAAGAAAAAAAAAAAACCCAUAGUAACCUUGUAAAGUACUGUUUUUCUCAAAAUAAGAGGAGGCAUUUUCAUCUUUGUUAUUGUAACUUUGUUUUACACGGACUGCUUCUACAUACAUACUUUCUAUAAUCCCAAAUUGUUGAAUUGGUUCUUUCCAGAAAAUCUGAUCGAAUUAAAGAUUACUGUAAACAUUUCCUGUCAUACUGACAGUUGCACCAUUUCCAGAGAUUUCAGUAUUGAAAAUGAGCUACAGAAGCUAAGGUUAUUUUGCCUACUGGUAACUAAGUUCUUUGAUAACCAUAUUGUGGUGGUUCUGUGCUUUUGUAUAAUGGGUGUCUUAAACUGAGGACAGUUUAGGGGGAUCCUUUCUGAUUCCAGGAAAGCGUUGCUUUCCUCAACACUGUGAUCUAAUCUGUGAUAAACCUGUACUAUAUACAAGUGGCUAACAAGUCAACCACAAACAAACUGAAUGUAAAAAUCUUAGUGCUGGUGCUGAAAUCUCUUCAGACAGUCAUAAUUUCCAGUUCAUUGUUUUAAAAAGUUAUCAAGCAUCAAGUGUCAAUCGAAAACUGAAGACGAUCACUAAUGAAUGUUGAAUUUUCAUGCAUUUAGGUUUACCUUCUUUUUAGUUUCUCAGUUCAUUCUCUGCUAUUUUUACCAUAUUGUGUCAUUUUAAAUUUCUUACAUGCUAACGUUUUGUUUGAGCG